UGGGGAAUAUUGGGCAAUGGGGGAAACCCUGACCCAGCAACGCCGCGUGAAGGAAGAAGGCCCUCGGGUUGUAAACUUCUUUUACCAGGGACGAAGGACGUGACGGUACCUGGAGAAAAAGCAACGGCUAACUACGUGCCAGCAGCCGCGGUAAUACGUAGGUUGCAAGCGUUGUCCGGAUUUACUGGGUGUAAAGGGCGUGUAGGCGGAGCUGCAAGUCAGAUGUGAAAUCCCGGGGCUCAACCCCGGAACUGCAUUUGAAACUGUAGCCCUUGAGUAUCGGAGAGGCAAGCGGAAUUCCUAGUGUAGCGGUGAAAUGCGUAGAUAUUAGGAGGAACACCAGUGGCGAAGGCGGCUUGCUGGACGACAACUGACGCUGAGGCGCGAAAGCGUGGGGAGCAAACAGG
rnacentral:rRNA from 1 species